GGAGCUCUCCCAUAUGGUCGACCUGCAGGCGGCCGCGAAUUCACUAGUGAUUACGGCUCAGUAACACGUGGACAAUCUGCCCUGAAGAGGAGGAUAAUCCCGGGAAACUGGGGGUAAUACUCCAUAGUUCGUGCUGACUGGAAUGUUAUGCGAACGAAAGAUCCGUCGCUUCAGGAUGAGUCUGCGGCCGAUUAGGUAGUUGUUGGGGUAACGGCCCAACAAGCCUGUCAUCGGUACGGGUUGUGGGAGCAAGAGCCCGGAGAUGGAUUCUGAGACACGAAUCCAGGCCCUACGGGGCGCAGCAGGCGCGAAAACUUUACCAUGCGGGCAACCGUGAUAAGGAAACCCCGAGUGCCAGCACAGGCUGGCUGUCCAUCAGUGUAAAUAACUGGUGAAGAAAGGGCCGGGCAAGACCGGUGCCAGCCGCCGCGGUAAUACCGGCGGCUCGAGUGGUGGCCGCUAUUACUGGGCUUAAAGGGUCCGUAGCUGGAUAUACAAGUCCCUUGAGAAAUCCGCCGGCUUAACCGGUGGGCGUUCAGGGGAAACUGUAUUUCUAGGGACCGGGAGAGGUGAGAGGUACUGCCGGGGUAGGAGUGAAAUCCUGUAAUCCCGGUGGGACCACCUAUGGCGAAGGCAUCUCACCAGAACGGGUCCGACAGUGAGGGACGAAAGCUGGGGGAGCAAACCGGAUUAGAUACCCGGGUAGUCCCAGCUGUAAACGAUGCGCGUUAGGUGUGUCAGUGACCACGUGUCACUGAGGUGCCGAAGGGAAACCGUGAAACGCGCCGCCUGGGGAGUACGGUCGCAAGGCUGAAACUUAAAGGAAUUGGCGGGGGAGCACCACAACGGGUGGAGCCUGCGGUUUAAUCGGACUCAACGCCGGAAUCUCACCGGAUAAGACAGAUGCAUGAUAGUCGGGAUGAAGACUCUACUUGACUAGCUUGAGAGGAGGUGCAUGGCCGUCGUCAGUUCGUACUGUGAAGCAUCCUUGUUUAGUCAGGCAACGAGCGAGACCCACGCGAGCAGUUGCCAGCUUGACCUUCGGGUGAUGGGGGACACUGCUCGACCGCCUCUUGCUAAAGGGGAAGGUAGGAAUGGGCCACGGUAGGUCAGCCAUGCCCCCGAAUU
rnacentral:rRNA from 1 species